rnacentral:rRNA from 1 species
CCCUUAGAUGUUCUGGGCCGCACGCGCGCUACACUGAUGAACGCAACGAGACCACCUGUACCGAAAGGCAUGGGUAAACUUGUGAAAGUUCAUCGUGAUGGGGAUAGAUUAUUGCAAUUAUUAAUCUUCAACGAGGAAUUCCUAGUAAGCGCGAGUCAUCAGCUCGCGUUGAUUACGUCCCUGCCCUUUGUACACACCGCCCGUCGCUCCUACCGAUUGAAUGGUCCGGUGAAAUCUUCGGAUUACUGGAUAGGACUUCAUUGACCUAUCUGCGAGAAGUUGCUUGAACCUUAUCAUUUAGAGGAAGGAGAAGUCGUAACA